GGGAGAGAGAGAGAGAGAGAGAGAGAGAGAAAAUAUCCCAAGCAGGCUCUGCACGGUCAAUAAAGAGCCCAACGUGAGGCUCGAACUCACCAACCAUGAGAGCAUGACCUGAGUCGAAGUCAACAGUCAGACGUUUAACCGACUGAGCCACCCAGACGCCCCUCAAGUCUUUCAAAUGAAGAGGUUUGCACUUGGCUCAAAACACAUGAUUUGUGUGCACUGAGCUUUCUUUUCAGGUGGUUUUUGUACUCCACCCUCUAGCUCUAGUCGUGCAGUGCUAGGCUAGAAAUGACAUGACCAAUGAACUCACUGGGGGAAUCCUGGAACAUGUAAAUGUUCACUCGUUCAGAUGGCAGGGUUUUACAGAAAUACAGGAUACAAUUAUCAUUUAACAACACUCCUCAUCCUCUAUCCAAUCCAUGGCUGCGGGCCUCCAGUGGGAAGUGCACUUUUCAUGGAUGAGAGGGAGCUAACCUACCCCUCAGUGGCCAUUCACUCCUGGCUAUAGAAAAGUGAAAUUCAGUUUGUUUCUAGGAUCCAUCCAUCCAUCCAUCCAUCCACCCAUCCACCCAUCCAGCAAAUACUUACUGAACACCUGCCAAGUGCCAACACUGUUCAAGUGCUUAGAGCACACGACUUGAUUGGUGAUUUACACCCUAUCCCCUGUCUAACAAGAAUAUGAUGCUACUUACAAUAAAAGCACAGAGGACAAUUAAGAUAAAGUCAGAGACAUAUCAGCAGUCAGAGUGGCAAGAGGAGAUCAUUCUAGCAGGAACCUGCAGUGAAACAGUCAUUGUACUUGAGCAUGGACGUAUUUCUGACCUUCUUAGUAGCAAGACAAAACCAAAUAAAGAAACAAAACAAAAGAAAAAUCAAGGUAGUAUAAGGGCACCUGGCUGACUCAGUCAGUAGAGCAUGUGACUCUUGAUCUUGGGAUUGCAAGUUCAAGCCCCUCAUUGGGUGUAGAGAUUACGUAAAAUUCAAAUCUUAAAAAAAAAUCAAGGUGGAGUAUAUCAUUCUGAUAAACUGAAAGAACACAAGAAGGACAUCCUUGAGGUAUAAAGGGCAUAGACUAAGAAAACAAUCAAUUAUUUGAGCAGCGGUUUGGCAGAAAGUAGCAAAGUUGUGCUUGAGGUAUCGUUACUAUAUCGGUUUUAAAGCUAAGAAUAUAGAACCAAAUCACAAUUCAUUGAAUGCAUUUCAAAUAGAGAGCCAAACGUGGUGGUUUCUGGUAUUCCAAAUUGAUGCUGGCAUAAGCUUAGAAAACUAGAGGUGUAGGUGUUCUGUAUCCAUCCCACUGUGUUUUUUUAUCCUUGACUUUCAGAAAUUUGAUUCUAACUUCUGUAAACCUUCAGUCACACAAGCACUUGGCUAAUAUUUAUUAGGAGUAAAGCCUUCUAUUGUUAGAUGGAAAUGUGCUUUUUUUCUUUGACCUGAAGGAUCUGUCUCCAGAGCCUGUCUAACCAAGGGGUGACUUUUGAAGUGAUGCCCUCAGCACUGCAGACAGCAUCACUCCAGAGUCAUAAAUCGGUACUGUUCAUAGGGCAUCACCCCAGGAUGGGUCACAUCAAGAUUUAACAGAAGUGGAGGAAGAUGUUUUCUCUUUGGUCUCCAGUGUCCUCCUAGUGUCCUGCCUAGCCUGGUGGCUUGGACUUUCCACGUAACAGGUUUGAGCCAUGGUUGCUUCAUGGUUGUUUCCUAGGACUCAUUCAGGAUUUUCAAUGGGGGCAGUAACACCCUUACAUCUUUAGAAAUUUGUGGGGUGCUUCUGGUUGGCAGAGUGACAAAGAACUGUCUCGCACUCCCAUGCAAAUGUUGACUAUCUUACCAGACCAUGUAAUUGGGGAAAAAAUUACAAUUAUCUGAUAAAAUUUAACUCUUUUAUAAACACAGAGUAUAUCUUCAAGGUUUUUAAUAUGUUCUAAUUUUCCAGAUUGCAAAUUACAAUAUAUUUCAUAUAAUGAGUAAGCAUUGAAUUUCAUAGUUUUAAAAACCACUGAAUUAGAAGAUCCAACAAUUUCUAAGGUCACUUACAAAUUAAAUUGUAUAAUUCUCUUGUUCAUGUUGCAACACAUUAUUGGGUUUGUAGGAGAAUGGGGUAAGGGAAAUACAGAAUUGGUUGGUGGUGGUCGUCGUUUUGUGUUUUGGUCUGGGAACUUUAGUUUGUGAAUUUGCACAUGUAAUUUCAGGUCUGAUUUCCAGGUUAUAAUUGAGAGCUCAGAGUUCUUCUUUCAAGAUGCAAAUUAUUUGAAUUAUUUCAGCUGCAUUUUUUUCCCAUCCUCUUGAAGAGAAGUUCUGGGGCUCUUUCUGCACUGGGAUUUGAAUUCUUAGUUUUGUAUCUACUGCUAACUUGAAGAUUCUACUCUGUGACCCAUUUUGCAAAUCACUCCACAAUGAUUCACUAAAACUGUUCUCAGCUCGUGCUCUAUUUCUGCAAGACAAAGUGCCCCCAGGACCAUGGUAACAAUUCAUUUUUAAUUUUUAAAGUUGCUUGUGGUUGUUUUUUAGCGAACUUCCCAGUCAGUAAGCAGCACAGGCCCAUGGUAAACACCAAGAAAGCCAGAGAGAAUCUUAACCACCUCCUGGCGUUAGCAGGGGGAGGUACACCUUUACAGAUUCUAGUCCCCUGUAGUAGAAACCAUGCUGGAAUAUGUUUCAUAGUCUUUGAAACACGGAUAAAACAAACCUACUUCUCUUGCGGAUGUUUUGAUUGAUGCGAUGUUUUGGAGUAGAACACAGAGGUAGUAAAAGAAUUACAUGAAAUCUAUCAAAAUCAGUUUGCAUGCUCCUUGCACUGUGCUACGUGUUACUGUCUAGGAUGACAGAGUAAGAGAGGAGAGUAACAUCUGUAACCCUCACAAGGUGUCUUCGUGGCAAAGUGGAGACCCACCGAGCCUGGGGGACGAGGAGGAGCUGGUCUGAGGCAUGGAGAGGGCAUCUCUCAGGCGGGAACAGUGUAUUUACCAACCCUGAGGCGGGAAUGUGACAUUCUUCCUCCAGCACGGGAGUCCAGCUUCUCCACAGCCUAUAAACAAAUUCCGAAGCACGAACAUGGCCUUCCUGACAUCCUGGGGUAUUCCUACUUCUGCAUCCUCACUCCCACGAAGUGCUCCACUGCUCCCAUAGUGGACUCCUUCGAGACUAUUCCCUCGAGCCCAUUGGGCCCUUUUCCUUUUCUGUGCAUUGAUUGGUGCCUACUCUUCCCUGCGUCGACCAAAAUCUAAAUUACUCAGAGACAAUGGGGGAACAGUCAGGAAAGCAGGCUUGGAGCCUGACUAUGUGGGCGAGUAGCUCAGCUCUGCCUCUCACUAACUGCUGAGAUGCUGGACAAGUUACCUAAACCCACUGGGAUUUAACUUCCUUGUCUAUACAGAGAACGACCGUGCCUACUUCAUAGAGUAGUUGUGAGGAUUAACUGUGUUGCUACCUAUCGAGCACUUAGAUCACAGUGGCAAGCACAUAAUAAGCAGUUGAUAAAUGUUCGCUGUAAUUACUAGCGGUAGUGACAGUAUCACCAUCAUCAUUUUUAAUCUUUCAUGGUCCGGCUUAAUUGCUACCCAAUUUUCCUUAUUUGCAGUCGAAGGUAAUCACUCCUUCUUCAUUAUAACACCUUUCCACUUCGUAUAUUUCUCUAUUGGGACACUGACUUCAUGCUGGCUUGUAGUCAAGAAUCCUUUCUAGUGGUGACAUUGAGUUUUAGUGAUCCCUCACCACCCAGCAAGUAGUAUUUGGCAUGUGUUGAGAAACCCAGUAAAUAUUGUGUCACGCGGGUUUGCUUGCAAAGCAGGAAGCACAAAUUCAAGUCGAGUAGGAAGUAAGGAGAGUCAGGUGGGCAAGCACCCAAUUCUGAAAGCUUCAGCCUUCAGAAAUGUGAAAAGCACAGGAGAAUCGGAGUCAUUUCAGAAUUUGAGAAGCAUAUUAACAAGCGUUUUUAACGAUCUCAUGCAGAAAUUCACAGCCCCACAGCCGGAGAGAUGUAAUCUCCCAGAUCCAUUUUUCUGAGAUGCUCCUUUUUCAAUCACUCUCUCACCCACCUGACAGAUUCUUAAAUUGUAUUUAUUUUGUCCCAAGCAAAGAAGCCAGGCUCCAUUUUCAUCCAUGGGAUGCCCCAACCUCCUUUCUCCACUGCACGUUUGUAAUUUUGCAACCAUGACUGCCUUGGCUUUACAGCACUCCCCCACCUGUCCGUUUGUAUGUAACAAUUAAAACAUAAAACCAAUACCGCAGCACCAUCUUGAAGGAAAAAUCUCCCACAGCCGCUUAGAGAAGCACUCUACCAAACUGUACCAUCCCCGCGUCAGUGGGGAUACAGGGCGAUCUGAGAUCAAGCCCAAUUCCAGGGCAUAGCCACGUGCUCUCGGGCCAGUUGUUCAAUCUCUGCCACACCCCCCUUCCUUCUCUGCCUCCUCUGUGACCUCCUCUGUGACCCUGCUUCACAGGGUGGAUUUGGGGAUGAAAUAAAUCACCCAGGUGGAGACCUAGAGCAAUGGCUGGAACGAAGCAAGCAACGCUCAAACAUUCCUCCCUGCAAUCCGUCCCCCACGUAGGGAGCCCCCAAAGUAGGAGAAGAAGCCGUUUCUCAGGGACUGAUAGGGACAGAGGCAGCGGGGUCCCCUCCUAAACGCAGCAUGGUACUUCAAUCCGUGUAUUUCCAUUUUGUCUGUAUCCAGUCAGGCUGCAUCCUGGUGCAACUCUGGCCUCCAGACAAACACAGCUGGGUUAUGGUGUUUGGGGGCAUGGGUUCAACGACAUGGAUUUCCAGGCCUUCUGUGUGCCAAGCAUAUGCCAGGUAUUAAGGAUGUACAAUAAGGAAGACCCAAGUCCUGCAUUCAAGAAGUUCACAUUCCAAGCAUUCCAUUGCUUAUUUGCAAGCAAAUAAAUUAUAACACGGUGGGUUGAGUGUAAAGACGCCAGAAUCUAUCAACAGUAGCCAAGUUACGGAGAGAGUCCAAAUGUCCAUUGAUGGAUGAAUGAAUAAAGAAGAUGUGGUGUAUAUUUACAAUGGAAUAUUACUCAGCGAUCAAAAAGAAUGAAAUCUUGCCAUUUGCAACAACACGGAUGGAACUAGCGGGUAUGAUGCUAAGCGAAAUAGAGAAAGAGAAAUAUCAUACGAUUCCACUCAUAUGUGCAAUUUAAGAAACAAAACAGAUGAACAUAGGGGAAGGGAAGGAAAAAUAAGAUAAAAACAGACAGGGAGGCAAACUAUAAGAGACUCUUUUUUUUGAAAGAGAGAGAGAAUGGGGAAGGGGCAGAGAGAGAAGGGGACAGAGGAUCUGCAAAUGGGCUCUGCGCUGACAGCAACUAGCCCAGUGUGGGGUUUGAACUCACAAACCAUGAGAUCAUGGCCUGAGCUGCAGUCGGACGCUUAACUGACUGAGCCACCCAGGUGCCCCAUGAGAGAGGCUCUUAAAUACAGAGAACAAACUGAGAGGUGCUGGAGGGGUGCUGGGUGGGGAGCACGGGCUAAAUGGUGAUGAGCACUGUGCAUUGUAUAUAAACGAUGAAUCACUAAAUUCUACUCCUAAAGCCAUUAUUACACUACAUGUUAACUAACUUGGCUUUAAAUAAAAUUUUAAAAAUCAAAUAAAAAAAUGGAAUUCUGGAAAUGGUCCUUGAGUUGAAAAAUAAUAAUAAAGUGCAAGAAGCUACAGAGAAGGAGAAUGCUCGGAGGAAGGUGGGAUUCUCCUUAUGGAGGAAGCAGAGAUGGCUGGGGGAGGGGGGACAACCCUGUGGGCCAAACAUGUGGGGACAACCUUGCCGCGGGGACAAAACAGUCAAUGGUGUGUUGAAAUGCUGCCCGCUUUCCUUCCUCGGCCUCACAGCAAAGCUGGCCUGGCUUUUAGACCUGACAAGGGGGAAGCACGAGAAUCACGGAACUGAGGCAAAAGAACGAGGAGGACAGGAAAGGAGACGUUCUUUGCUUGCCGGCAGGUGUCCCGGUUCUUUCACCCGAUCCCGUGUCAUCUCUGAGCAGCUGGUCAUCAGAUCCUAGGCAGGAAAGCUCCCCCGCCCGACCGUGAUGCAGGGGACGGGGACAGUGGAAAUGCGGCCAACCGCAGGGGCGUGCGUGCGCGUGGCCGGACGGUCGGCGCUGCCGGCGUGUUCGAGGGCAACUACAGAAUGUUCUCAAAGCCCGAAAGCCACAGCCGCGCAACGGCGGGUCGUUUCGGGGGGCCUCAGCCUCCGCCGCUCUGCUUCUACCACAGCUGUUUCCUGGAAGGGCCGCAGUCUGAGAACAUGACCCCAGCACUCUGCCUGUGUCAUUAAUUCAGGAAAAGUUACAAUCACCAUACUCUCUACCCACCUCACUCUCAGCACAACCUCCCCACAUGGCUGGAUGUGGAUACUCACCUACCUUGGCAUCUGCUUCAAGAGAGGAGACAGGGGGGCCUGUUCUGGAGAGAAGGAAGUCAACUUUUCUUCACUUUGGAACAACUGACGCAUUUCUCUUUCCUUCCUGUCGGGCCAGUGCUGAAGCGGGGCAGCCUCUGCGCCCGCCCAGACAGCUUCUGUGGUUGCCCCCACAUCGCCAAGGACCUCAGGAGCGAGGCCACCCAAAGCCACACCCAGGGGCUCUUGUAGGCCAACAGUCCACGGUCUUCAGCUGGAGGACAGACAAAGCUGACGUUCCUGAAACUUUCACCCCUACCAGGGAAACCCCAAGACAGACUAGAAGCUUCAAAUAUUCAAACGUUUUCACAUUUGCAAGGGGUUUCACAUUGACCUCAAGUGUAAAUGACUGAUCACAUUGUGAAGAAUGGUUACAAACGCAAGAAUAACAAGACUGGCAUAAGCUUCGGAGGGGGGAGGGUGCACCGCGGGGCUGGGGGGGGGGGAUUUCACUGAGGUAUCCCAUACAAAUAGAAUACGAUAAAAUCACAAGCAGGGGGAACACACCCCUAUCAAGAAACUACAACGGCACCCCGGAAGCCCCUUUGUCUGCCCUUCCAGUUACUACCUUCUCCCCAAAGAUAACUAUUUUCCUGAUCUCUAACACCACUGAGUCGCUUUCCUGUUUUUGCACUUUGUGUCAAUGAACGUAUAUAAUAUG